UACGUAGGGUCCGAGCGUUGUCCGGAAUUAUUGGGCGUAAAGAGCUCGUAGGCGGUGUGUCGCGUCGGCCGUGAAAACCUGCAGCUUAACUGUGGGCUUGCGGUCGAUACGGGCAUCACUGGAGUUCGGCAGGGGAGACUGGAAUUCCUGGUGUAGCGGUGAAAUGCGUAGAUAUCAAGAGGAACACCUGCGGCGAAGGCGGGUUGCUGGGCUGACACUGACGCUGAAGCGCGAAAGCUAGGGGAGCGAACGGG
rnacentral:rRNA from 1 species